AUCAGAAUAUGUAAAAAUCCUGUGAAAGUUGGUAUUUUUAAAGCUUUAAUCGCGAAUAACGUGUUAAAUAUAAGGAAAUCUUCAGUGAGGUUAAUCACUGCUAGCCGAGCCAUUGUGAUAUCAUCAGUGGAAGCUGGUCUUUUUAAUUUCAGUCUUUUGACUUUUUUAAACUUUUAAUCAGUAAUGAGUCGAGAAUAAGUCGAGAAAUAAAGCAUAAAAUGAUCAGUGAAGAUGUUCUCGGCCUCAAGGGGAAAUAUGUGAAUCAGAAUAUGUAAAAAUCUUGUGAAAGUUGGCAUUUUUAAAGCUUUAAUCACGAAUAACGUCAAAAAUAGGAUGAAAUCUUCAGUGAGGCUGAUCACUGCUAGCCAAGCCAUUGUGACGUCAUCAGUUGAAGCUGGUCAUUUUAAUUCAAAGUCUUUUGACUUUUUUAGACUUUUAAUCAGUAAUGAGUUGAGAAUAAGUCAAGAAAUAAAGCUCAUGUUUAUAUUUAGCAAAGUAACAGAGUUGCGACAAGACAUGCAUCAAAUUGCAAACGUGUUAUCACCACCAAUGUCUAGAUUUUGGUGAUAAUAUGUCAGUAACUCCUAGUCCUUCCAUAUAUGUACAGGAUGACUGAGCGUUUAGGGUGAAUUUGAGUCUUACCACAUUGAGGCCUUAAUUUGGGUACCAUAAACUGGUUGCUUUAUGUCCUGUGCAGCUAACAACUGCUCAGGAUUAGGGCUUGUGAAAGUUGGAAUGAAUGAAACUUCUUUUUUAGUUCAUUGAAGGAAUAAGGGGCUGCAACAAAUAUCCCACGAAACGUUGUUGUGUUAUUUAGUAAACAAGUGAUCAUGGUGUUCUAUUGCAUGUACUCAUUGUGUUUUAUAGCAGUCCUUUAAAUCCCCCUUGUGAUUCAUGGACGUCUGUGUGUUGCUUCUUCAGUUGUAAACAUCCCUCUGUCUGAAAGGAUAACACUGUGGAUUAGCGAAGGAGCCCUCUGAGAAACAGCCGUGGUCAGAGUGAACAUUUCUUUCCAGUUAUUUUCAGGGCGUGAGGGAAAGUGUGAGAACUCUCACUUCAUCAGCAUUCAUGACCUACCACUUGAUCGGACUCUGUUCCAGAUGAAAAAUAGCUGAGUAUUUUUCUGAAAGUGAGCCCCUGAGGAUAAAGGGAAUGUCACACAACUACUUACGUAGGCAAGAACAAUUCUUCUGAACCAGCAUUGCAAAUGCAAGCAUCCCAGCACAACUCAGGUAUCAGCAGGGAGUGCUUCUUUAAAGCUUCAGACAAAGACCUUCUGUGUAAAUGGUUCAUCUGUUGACCAGCAACCAUUGGGAAUGUCAAAGGAUUAUUUGUGUUUAGCUUAAUUACAUGGAACUUCACUGAGUCAAGUGAAUAGUAAUCUUCCCAAUGAAAUAACACGUCUUUUGGAACACCAAACUUACUAUGGUUGCGUCUCAUGUGAUCACGGUGGAGUUUGUCUAUUCAAGCGGUGACCUGUGACUUAAAGCACCUUCAUAUCUCUACUGUUCCUACUUCAUGGCAUCAAAUGUUCUUCCAUCUGUUUUGCGGCAAGCAGUAUUAACGGAUGCACAGUGUCUUUAGUUUGUCAAUUGGUGUAUGCUUAAGGGCAAUCAAAUGCUUUAAGUGCGGUUACGCUGUUUUGUUACCAAAUGGAGGUGUAAGCUAAGAAUGCGCUUUUGGUUUUUGUACUUCCGCUGAAGAAAGAGAAGGUGUUAAAUCUUCCAAAUAAACGAACGUGCAUUCAAAAAGCAUUAAAAACAUUUACCACAGAAGAUGAUUACAUAGGCUGUUAUUUAAAAUGGUACAUUUUCUGCCUGUCCGUGUGAGUGAGAAAGAUAAUUUAUUUUGGAUCGUAAAUUCUCAUUGAUUGUAAUAUUAUAUGACAAUUCCUUGAUAUCUGGAGAGUAUGAAUUACACACAGGGUACAUUGUGUACUCAGUGGGUUCAUAACCUCCAAAGAAAUGACAGACUGUAUGGACAUCAACAGAAAAGGCAUGAGGAGCUCAGUCAAUGUGUGUCUGGUAUAGUCAAGAGCUCUUCACAGUCUGAAUGCCAGAGAAUAGUUAGACACAAUGCUUUAAAAAUGCUGACCUAAAAGCACC